rnacentral:misc_RNA from 1 species
GAACGACGUUUUCGCCAUAACAAAUGCUGUUCCAGCUAUAGCUCUUCUUUCCUACGGUUUCUUCCAUAAAGGGAUCGUCCCUGGCCUCUGUUUCGGCGCUGGAUUGGGGAUCACAGUAUUUGGGAUGGCUUACAUGUUCGUUCACGAUGGACUGGUUCAUAAGAGAUUUCCCGUAGGGCCUAUUGCCAACGUGCCUUACUUUCGGAGGGUAGCUGCAGCACAUCAGCUUCAUCACUCGGACAAAUUUGAUGGUGUCCCAUAUGGCUUGUUCCUAGGACCUAAGGAAUUGGAAGAAGUAGGAGGACUUGAAGAGUUAGAAAAGGAAGUCAACCGAAGGAUUAAAAUUUCUAAGGGAUUAUUAUGAUCAAAAGAUACGUCUGAUAAUAAUAAAAUGCGAUUGUAUUUAGGCUGUAGAUUAUUAUUGGGAAAAAGAUAGAAAGAUAUAUAUAUGAAUAUAAUAUAAAAUGCAA